UGGCACCGGGGAGGGAGUAACAAAAGCACCCAGUGAGGAAACCUCCGUGUAAGGAUGCCAAAAAUUCACCUCCGUGAACUGAGGGGAUGAUGGCAAAGGGGCUCUGCAGGGUUGGCCAGCCUGCUGACCAUGCUGUCACAAAGGCCGGCUCCAGGCAGCUAAGAAAGAGCUUAAUUAUCCAGCCUUUCCUCAUCUGUGAGUAGGAGGGAGCCAGCAGGAGGAGCGCGCUGGACCACCAAUUAGGUUAGUCAGGAGGUUAUUCAGUCUAAGAUCAGAAAUAGAGGUAAGGCAGAGCCAGUGGGGGGCAAAGCAUCAAAGGUCCUCCGGGCCAUCAGGGGGUUCCCCUUCCCACUGUGGACCAGGCCAUUCCCAUGACCUGACGCUUCAGUAGGUCUUCAUUUCCGGCACCACUGAAAUUCUGACCUUCCGUCUCAGAGAAGGAUGUCAUAACCCAGGAUGCCCGUGCUGAUUAUCCACAUUCCUUCUAACGAGGACAUGGCCUUCCCCGCAGGCCCUUUUCCUUCUUGCCGCGUCCUGGAUUGCUACAGUUACCAUGAUUGAAUACAACAGCAUCACAAUUUCUGUGAUUAGAAAUAAUUCUGGGUAUGAGUAGAUUCAGAGAUGACUAAAAUCAUUAUAAUGCCUCAGCAAUGCUGGACUCAAAGAUUUUUCUUAAAAAUAAACUACUCUUUUUGAA